CUAGUAAAUGGAUGACAAGCCAUUAACAUUGAAAGAAGAAGAGCCAUCCAAAGGGUUGGGUCCUCAUCGCCCUUGCCUUGGAGAAAGCUCUAAAGAGAGGGAAGGAUGGUUUCCAGCAGUCCCUGAAGUGACUUUCCUCCUUUGUAGGAUCCAGUUACACCCAGCAGACUUCAGUUUGAAUAAACAGAACUGGAUGAACACACCUAGGGAAUCUUUGAGGCCAGCCUCAGUUUUUAACAUCCAGCUACAGGGAGGCUCUCACUCACCAGGAGAUUAACCCACUAGGCUGCCGAGUGAGAAGGGACAGAGCAGGCCCUGACGGGAGGCCUGGGAUGCAGGGGAAAUCAAAACAAGUCCACCUGCUUAAGGAGGACUGCUGCACUGUGACCUCGUCCUCCAGACAUCUGUGGCAAGUGUUUCCACAGCCACUGAUGUGGCACUGGGCCAUUGACAGCUGCCUUAUGAUAUUCUUUUUCACAAUUGUGUUUACACUAUUGUUUAACAACUUUGUAUAAUAAUCUCUUUUCACUCCAAAUAAACCUUAGUGCCUGGAA